GUGCGCGGCGCAGCGCGCGGCGUCAGUCUUGGCUGGCAGACUUUGUACUCUGUAUUCCGUACGCGGAACUCGCAGCGGCGCGAUCUUCGGCAGCCUAGUCAUCCACCGCCAUCCUGGGCCCCACGUGUUGCCUGACCAUUCCUGAGCCCAGGUGGGAGCCGUGGCUGAGGUGACGGUCUCAAAGUGGAAGAGCUUACUGUCACAGCAACUCUUUUGCAAGAUGCCCCGGCCAGGAACAGUUGCUGAACACCCCAGGCCUGCUGAGGUCCCUCCUUGAGUCUCAUGUUCAAGCAGUCUUGUGAGUAAAGCACUGGCUACCCCUUUUCACUUACUAUCUUUUCAAGGAUGUUCCACCACCUUGGAAAGUAAGAGGUAGUACCUUCUUCCAGAGCAGAGGGCAGGCAUUCUUGCUGUGCGCUGUGAAAGGGUAGAGUCCUGCGCUCCUUUCCUGUAGUAGUCCAGUGGCCCAUGCAGGUGCCUCUGACUCCCCUAUGGGAACUGGGGCAAGCUUGGGAGUGUGGUUGAAAAUGCUGAUACUCUGGCUAUUGCUAUUGCUUUGAAUAAUCAGUGGUCCCUUGUCCCUAAUCGAGGAAUUUUGUAUUUUCUACCAGUGUCCAUGAAACUGGGAGGCGACCUUGUUAGCUGCCAGUUCCUGACAGCCACCUCUCACCAGUGGCCUCACUCUGUGUCCCUGACCCAGCACAGGGCACAAGAGUGCCUGCCAUCCCUCAGUGUUUCUACAGCAGCAAUCCCGAGAUGCCAGAGCUAGAGGGGACCUGACCUGAGAGAAGAUACCUUCAGUGGCUGCCAGGCUGUUCCUUGGAACCUGUGCAGGGGUAAGUGUGCAGGAAGGUCUGACCUGGCAAGUCACUUGACUCCUGUUUUAUUUAGAGUCACCUGGCUAAGGAAAAGUUCAAAAACCGUCGCCUUAUUUUGACCUUCCCGUAUUGUAAGUCAGGUGAUUGAAUCCCAGAAAGGUUCAUUGUCUUCAAGCUGACAGUACUAUUUUGGGACAAACAGUUGUCUAGUGUUUGGACUCAUGAACGCUGAUUCUUGGGGG
rnacentral:lncRNA from 1 species